AUGGGAAUUAGUUAAAAAGUCAAAGUUCAACGUCAUAAAUGAUCAUAAAUAAGUGUUCCGUGAAAAUUAAUAUUUGAAAAUUUAAUUUGUUCAUAAUUCUUUUAUGUAAUAAACUUAUUUAAAUAAAUUCGGACCUUCCCUUAUCUGAUCACCAGCAUGGCUAAAGGUAUUGUGAGGUGACACGUCCAGGUAUUCAAGCGAUUUCGUGUCGGACUUGCAAGUUCAUGCAUCGUUUUACUUCUGAGGGUAUUGAUCAGUGUACA
rnacentral:lncRNA from 1 species